rnacentral:rRNA from 1 species
AUUGAACGCUGGCGGCAGGCCUAACACAUGCAAGUCGAACGGUAACAGGAAACAGCUUGCUGUUUCGCUGACGAGUGGCGGACGGGUGAGUAAUGUCUGGGAGACUGCCUGAUGGAGGGGGAUAACUACUGGAAACGGUAGCUAAUACCGCAUAACGUCGCAAGACCAAAGAGGGGGACCUUCGGGCCUCUUGCCAUCGGAUGUGCCCAGAUGGGAUUAGCUAGUAGGUGGGGUAACGGCUCACCUAGGCGACGAUCCCUAGCUGGUCUGAGGGGAUGACCAGCCACACUGGAAGUGAGAAACGGUCCAGACUCCUACGGGAGGCAGCAGUGGGGAAUAUUGCACAAUGGGCGCAAGCCUGAUGCAGCCAUGCCGCGUGUAUGAAGAAGGCCUUCGGGUUGUAAAGUACUUUCAGCGGGGAGGAAGGGAGUAAAGUUAAUACCUUUGCUCAUUGACGUUACCCGCAGAAGAAGCACCGGCUAACUCCGUGCCAGCAGCCGCCGUAA